CUGAGGACUCUGGCGGAACUGCCGGUGACAAACCGGAGGAAGGUGGGAAUGACGUCAAGUCAUCAUGGCCCCUAUGUCCAGGGCUACACACGUGCUACAAUGGGCGAUACAGAGUGACGCGAAGCCGCGAGGUGGAGCAAAUCGCAGAAAAUCGCUCUCAGUUCGGAUUGGAGUCUGAAACCCGACUCCAUGAAGGUGGAAUCGCUAGUAAUCGCGCAUCAGCAUGGCGCGGUGAAUACGUUCCCGGGCCUU
rnacentral:rRNA from 1 species